GAUGAACGCUGGCGGCGUGCCUAAUACAUGUAAGUCGAGCGAACAGACGAGGAGCUUGCUCCUCUGGCGUUAGCGGCGGACGGGUGAGUAACACGUGGAUAACCUACCUAUAAGACUGGGAUAACUUCGGGAAACCGGAGCUAAUACCGGAUAAUAUAUUGAACCGCAUGGUUCAAUAGUGAAAGACGGUUUUGCUGUCACUUAUAGAUGGAUCCGCGCCGCAUUAGCUAGUUGGUAAGGUAACGGCUUACCAAGGCAACGAUGCGUAGCCGACCUGAGAGGGUGAUCGGCCACACUGGAACUGAGACACGGUCCAGACUCCUACGGGAGGCAGCAGUAGGGAAUCUUCCGCAAUGGGCGAAAGCUUGACGGAGCAACGCCGCGUGAGUGAUGAAGGUCUUCGGAUCGUAAAACUCUGUUAUUAGGGAAGAACAAAUGUGUAAGUAACUAUGCACGUCUUGACGGUACCUAAUCAGAAAGCCACGGCUAACUACGUG
rnacentral:rRNA from 1 species